rnacentral:rRNA from 1 species
GACGAACGCUGGCGGCGUGCUUAACACAUGCAAGUCGAACGGUGAAAGCGGAGCUUGCUCCGCUGGAUCAGUGGCGAACGGGUGAGUAACACGUGGGCAACCUGCCCUUCACUUCGGGAUAACUCCGGGAAACCGGGGCUAAUACCGGAUAUGACCUCUGCGGGCAUCCGCGGAGGUGGAAAGUUUUUCGGUGAAGGAUGGGCCCGCGGCCUAUCAGCUUGUUGGUGAGGUAGUGGCUCACCAAGGCGACGACGGGUAGCCGGCCUGAGAGGGUGACCGGCCACACUGGAACUGGGACACGGCCCCUACUCGUACGGGAGGCAGCAGCGAGGAAUCUUGCGCAAUGAGCGACAGCUUGACGCAGCAACGCCGCGUGAGGGAAGAAGGCUUUCGGGUCGUAAACCUCUUUCAGUUAGGACGAAGCUUUAUUGGUUAAUAACCAAUUGGAGUGACGGUACUUUCAGAAGAAGCCCCGGCUAAC